rnacentral:lncRNA from 1 species
AUGAAACAGUUUCUUGGCCACCUGUCAAAUGCGAAACAUAUGAAGAUGCUGACUAAAUAUUUUGGUAAAGCUCAAAGAGGAUUUGGUUUUUGCCAAAAAGCGAAAGUGUACCUGGCCCUUUUCACCUAUGUCUGUGAUCGCUUGAAGCGAAAUCAGCCAACUGUUGGAACAUCUUUAGUGGUGACCUGCAUCUGCUCACAGGUCGAGGCCGAACCGUUUUCCUUGUGCUUCGCUUGUCAGGAGUCUUUCCUUCAGUCCCAUCUAAGCAUCCACUUUGAAUCUAAAAGGCACCUCAUCAACACACUGCUGUACCUGAAUCCUUGGCGGCUGCCUUUUGGCUGGCAGGACAGCCUGGACGAAAGCCCACUGAGGUUGAUGGCAAGAGAGGAGGAAGGAGAAGGCACAGAUGUUAUUUUGAAGGUUUUUGAUCUGUCAUAUGAAAUGUUUUGUAAGCUCAUACCUACAGACUACAGACAUGUGAUGAACAGACUUCAAGUGUAUCACAUGCCUUUAAAGUGUGAAGUUCCAAAAAAGCAAACCUUUAGCAAACUCCAACAAAAUGAGAAGUUUCCUCUGCUUGGCAUGCAGUUUUUGGUGGUUUACAAUGCCUUGUCCAGUGACUGGGAGUCUGUGCAAAAGAACCCUCUGUGUUUGCUCUGUAAAAGGAAACUGACGCAGAAUGAAUAUCCAGUUCACGUGUUCAGCUGGGAACACGUGAUGCUUUUUCUGAAUGCCUUUCACCCCGGCUCACUGAACUUCAGUACUGUUGAUGCAGAAACGUUGUUGGAUUUGGCAAAACAGGCAGGCUCUGUUCACCACCUAUCCUGUGUGCAGGUGUUACAUUCCACACAAUGA